GCCAGUGCCGAACAUUGACAUAUAUAUAUGUGCCGAAAGGGGUUAGACGGCGAAUUAGCUAUGCUACACGUUAGCCAGGAGUAUACAAUAAGUUUUAGUUCUGUGACUGUACGUGUGUUAUGGACCGGUUUGUUGUUCCGUUAAAACGAGAGAGGAUGGACGUUGACGUCAAGGCUAAGUUAACGUUAGCUGUCUGCUGAUCUUCCGCCUGUCAAAGCGCCAUAUUGUAAAUUAAAACUGAAUGAGAUUACUGCCAAGUAACGCCACGUGGGUGAUACGCUUGUGUUAUUAAGGCCGUAUAUUUCCCGUACUUAUUCAAGCUGUUGUGUAUCUAUUCGACAUUGCCUGUUCGGCUGCAUAUGAACGGAACUUUUCUUGCUUUCCGUCGGCUAAAGACACACGAGGAGCGGUGGGACAACCAGCAACAAAAGAACUGGACAUGAGCUGUGAUUGACCGUUUUUCUUCUACAUCAGGAGAAGGCGUGUCAGGCUGGGGGCCGCCAUCCACCCUCACCACUGCAGAGAGAAAGUAAAAAUGAAUGUCAGGCCCUGGGAGAGGACACAGGGGGCCCUGUGGUGUCACUCACUCACUCAAUCUGAAUCUCCUAAACUGGAGUCAUUAGCCGGAUGAGGAUGGGAGACAAAUGCACUCUUUUCCCACAAACCUCUUAACCUGUUGUCCAUUGAGGGAAGCCAUGGAAACGCCUCGGGAAUGCAGAGGCAUUUCUGAGAGGACCCACGAGUCCGUCUAAACAGACACGACAGGCAUCAGCAGUGACAAAGAGCAGAGAGACACAGAUGCUGGCCAAUGCACAGCCAUCUGUAAAGCACAGGAACAGGAUCAGUG